UUUGCGAGAAGCCCCUUUUAUUUCCAUGCGGCCACGGCUACCUCACGUCUUUCCUCAAGUGGCACUUGUCCAGUGAGGGCUUUCCUGAGCACCCUUCUUAACUUUCAACACCCCUCUGCUCCUUUCUGUCCCCUUCCUCUACUUUAUUAUUCCUUAACAUUUAGCGUAAUCAAACAGGCUGUAUUUUAUUUACUGAUUCACUCCUUGUCUCCUCCCUCCUGCUAGAAUAGAAGUUCCACAGAACCAGAGGUCUUUAUUCCUUUUUUUUUUUUUUUUUACCCCUCAAGGCUGAAACGCAUAGGUUGCUUUAUGAUAGAGCCUCAUAAAUAUUUGUUAAACAAGAAUGACUAUUUCUUGCUCUGGGCAUUCUUGUGGCUUCAAGUUACUAUAAAUCUGUUUGCCACAAAGCACUCAUAAAACUAAUUAUUUUAUUUCAUGUUUUCUAUUAAGUAUAUUUACUAUAUAUGUCACGUUGAUUUAAGACCAUAAUAAUAGGAAAGGCAGACAGAAUGCAAAUGAGAAGAGUUCCUCCAGCUUUUUAUACAGGAUCAUUCCAGUGAGUCGCAUUCAUGGUUCAGCUCUCUCUAUACAUUUGGAAAUACACUGGCUUAUUUAUGUGUGUAUCCCGCCUUCUUGCAAAAACAAAAAAGAUGGAAAGGGGGUGGUUGGAAAUGUGAUGAUGUAAGGGUGUUGUAACCUAACACGCUGUUUCAAACGCUGGCCGAUUUGAAUAGACUGUACGUUAUGUAGGUUAGUAAUCUCAUUUGCAAGAGGCACUGAUCGGUGCCUUUUCUUGUGCAGUUUGCAUUAUUCCAUGCCAAAGCUUUUGCAUUUAUUACUUCAGUUCUGCCUCUCUUGUUUGGAUAAGAAUGUCUCCAGUCCUCCGGUUAUAAGUUAAUUUGUAUUCUAAGACCAAAAAGCUCUUGAGUACUUGGCACCUUUCUCAGUUCAAGUCCAAUUAAUCAUAGCUACCGAAAUGCAGCCAUUUGCUGUCUUAGUAAAAGUUCAUUGAUCCCGUGCCUCACUGGUUAUUGCAUAUAUAUACAUUAUAAAGCAAAGGACAGGACCUGUUCUGGUACAUUCUGGGUUCGCCCAGUCUAUCACAGAGUGAAGAUUCAAGGCAAUUUGUGUUUUUGUUUACGAGCAAGUUUUCUAAAACAUUACAUUUUAGAAAUUAACCUGCUAUGAAAUUAACAUUUUGAGUAGCGUACAGUUCUAUGAGUUUUGUGGGUUUUUUUGGUGUUUUGCUUUUUGGGGCCACCUCUGCAGCAUAUGGAAGUUCCCAGGAGUUGAAUCGGAAUUACAGCUGCCGGCCUAUACCACGGCCACAGCAACGAGGAAUCUGAGCCGCAUCUUCGACCUACACCACAGCUCAUGGCAAUGCUGGAUCCCCCACCCACUGAGUGAGGCCAGGGAUCGAACCCGCUUCCUCAUAGAUACUAGAUGGGUUCCCAACCACUGAGCCACAAUGGGAACUGCGAGUUUUUUUUUUUUUUUUUAAAGAACAUUUUAUUUGAAAGUUGUUUUAGACUUACGGAAGAGUAACCAAAGUAGUUCAGAGUUCCCACGUACCUUUCCGCAGCUUUCUCUAACUUUACAACUUAAAGGUAGUAAAUUUAUCAAAGCCAAGAAAUUAACAUUGGUGCAAUACUGUUAUCUUAACUACUGACUUCAAUUAGAUUUUUAUCAGUUUUUCUACUAAUGUCCUUUAAUUCCAGGAUCCAGCCCAGGGUACAGGAAGUAGGUCAAGUUAAUGCUGUAGGGGCGCUGUGAGAAUUAGAGGUUUAAGGGGCUGGGUGGCUCUUGGGAGAUGUCCUGAUUUGGGGGUGAUGAGGGCUGGUCCUGUGAUUUUUUUUUUUUUUUUUUUCUUUUUGGUCUGUGCCCGAGGUAUGUGGAAGUUCCCAGGCCAGCAACUGAACUUGAGCCAGAGCAGCAACCCGAGCCACUGCAGUGACAACACCAGAUCCUUAAUCUGUGGCACCAUAGGGGAACUCAGAGUGUUCCUUUGAGCUGAAUUUGGCUCAUGUGAUGUUGGAAUGUGAUUUGAAUUAGUUGCCAACAUUUAAUGAUUAGGAGGUCUUCCAGAAAAAUCUGUAGUUUUGGCGUCUUUUUAAGAAACUGGUAGCUCCUGCUGCCCUGGGUCUGUUCACUGACUGGGACAAUUGUGUGGCCCUGAGAGGUGGCCAUCCCUUCUUUAUGAGCAAGUGGAUUCCAGUUGAUUUCAGAUCUUGCCCCUCCUGACACUGCACUGGACUAAACCAGCCCAUCAUGCUAUAGGUGAAGGUGCCCCAGGAGACGAGUGUUGCACUUUGCCUGUCCUUUCUUGCUUUCCGUGCUGCUCUUGGCCUUAGAGCUUGAAGCGUAUGGUUUUGGCACCUCUGGAGGGAGCAAAGAUGGUGGCAGAAAUGUGGUGCAGCAUAAAUGCUGAGUGUGCCUACGUGCAUCUUCACUUGUGUCUGAAAAUACCUGAGUUUGCAAACGGGCACUGCCCACCUCCCUCAAAAUCUGGUUGGCAGCCACUUUCUGUUUAGCCGUACAUGCUUAUCUGAAAUAUUGUAGGAGUUGCAAUGAGGGAAAACUCAGGUGAUAAACAUGAAAAUCCAACUUUGUGACUUCUCCUGAGAGGUCAGGUGACCAGGCAAUGCUACCCACCCCCCACCCCUCACACCGUGGUCUCCUGGCCUGGAAUCUAGGGUUCCCCUCAGCCGAGAAUGGGCUCAGCUGGUCCCUGCAUUCCAUUUGUGGGACCCUGUGGGCAGUGUUGGCCUUAGGUUGGAAACUGGGGACGCUCUAGUAGUUUUCCUUAAAAAUUUUAUUUAUUUUCUUUUUAGGAUUGCACCAAGUUCCCAGGCUAGGGGUUGAAUUAGAGCUUUAGCUGCCAGCCUCCGCAACAGCCCCAGCAACACCAGAUCUGAGCCUGUGUCUGUGACCUACACCGAAGCUCAUGGCAACGCCAGAUCCUUAACCCAGUGAGCAAGGCCAGGGAUCGAACUUGAAUCCUUACAGAUACUAGUCGAGUUCAUGACUGCUGGGCCUCAACGGAAACGCCUCUAGUAAGCAGUUUUCUUUCCGUGUUUCUUGACGUAAGUUAUUCUUGACCAGGAGUUAUUUCAGUAACUCCUCCAAGUUGCUGAGGACAAAGGGAAUUUGAGAGAGGGACUUUGUGGUGGUAUCAGAGCUUAGGCAUGCUGAAAGUUGCUUAUCUCAUUUUGUCUUCUGUCUCCUCCUCCUGGACACACUGUCAGUUCCUUCCCUUUGGGUGACCUAAGGUUUGCUGAUGCUAUCAGCACAGAGUUCUGCUCAGGAGUAUUUUUGUUAGAACAGCUUGAAGCACAGCGUUUAAAGACCGGAGUGGAAGUGGCAGUGGUGGAAUUUCAGGCAGUGUCUGGGUGGGGUCCCUGUAACCUCAUCCCAGGCACGUAUACAUACAGAUGCAAGAGAGAGUUCUCUCUUCCGGUCAUCAGAGAAACAUGAGGCUAAUGGGUGAAGGGGUUUUGCACGUAUGUGUCACUCUCAGGGUGUGUGUCUGUGUGGCCCAGCUCUGUGGCUGUGAGUUGAUAUGGAGCUGCCAAGCCCUUGGCAUGUGACAGUUUGAACUGAGUUGUUCUGUGAAUGUAAAAUACAUACUGGAUUUCAGACUAUGAAAGAAAGAAGGUGAAAUGUCUCGGUAAUGAUUUUUCUAUGGAUUACAUGUUUGAAGGAUAACUAUUUUGGAUUGUUUGGUUAAAUAGUUAAUUUCCUCCCUCUUUGUUUUUACUUUGAAAAAUGUGGCUGCAAGAAACGGUCAACUUGCAGGAGUUCCCACUGUGGCAAAGAGGGUUAAGAACCUGACUGCAGUGGCUCAGGUCACUGUGGAGGUGAGGGUUCCACCCCGUCUGGCGCAGUGGGUUAAGGGAUCUGGUGUUGCUGCAGCUAGGGCAGGGGUUUAAUCCCUGGCUGGGAAUUGAUGCUCUGGGUGAGUUCCCAUCAUGGCUUAGUGGUUAACGAACCUGACUAGGAACCAUGAGGUUGCGGGUUCGAUCCCUGCCCUUGCUCAGUGGGUUAAGGAUCCAGUGUUGCUGUGAGCUGUGGUGUAGGUCUCAGACUUGGCUCGGAUCCGGAGUUGCUGUGGCUGUGGCCGGUGGCUACAGUUAUGAUUGGACCCCAGCCUGGGAACUUCCAUAUGCCGCAGGCG
rnacentral:lncRNA from 1 species